UACGGGGGGGGGCAAGCGUUGUUCGGAAUUACUGGGCGUAAAGGGCUCGUAGGCGGCCAACUAAGUCCGACGUGAAAUCCCCAGGCUUAACCUGGGAACUGCGUCGGAUACUGGAUGGCUUGAAUUCGGGAGAGGGAUGCAGAAUUCCAGGUGUAGCGGUGAAAUGCGUAGAUAUCUGGAGGAACACCGGUGGCGAAGGCGGCAUCCUGGACCGGCAUUGACGCUGAGGCGCGAAAGCCAGGGGAGCAAACGGG
rnacentral:rRNA from 1 species